UCAACAUGGUCCCCCCAGGGUCCGUCCAGGCGGCAUAGGGCAGCAGAGGGCUCUAUUCCAUCAUGCAAAGUCCCUUUCUACAACACUGGAGAAGAAUCUAGGCCUUGUGUCUGCGCCUGCCUAUUCUUACUGCUUCCCAGAGUCCUUUGGGCAGUGACUGAGGAGAUAAACCACACAGGAAGCAAUG
rnacentral:snoRNA from 1 species